AUUGAACGCUGGCGGCAGGCCUAACACAUGCAAGUCGAGCGGAUGAAGGGAGCUUGCUCCUGGAUUCAGCGGCGGACGGGUGAGUAAUGCCUAUGAAUCUGCCUGGUAGUGGGGGAUAACGUCCGGAAACGGGCGCUAAUACCGCAUACGUGCUGAGGGAGAAAGUGGGGGAUCUUCGGACCUCACGCUAUCAGAUGAGCCUAGGUCGGAUUAGCUAGUUGGUGGGGUAAAGGGCUACCAAGGCGACGAUCCGUAACUGGUCUGAGAGGAUGAUCAGUCACCCUGGAACGGAAACACGGUCCAGACUCCUAAGGGAGGGAGCAGUGGGGAAUAUUGGACAAUGGGCGAAAGCCUGAUCCAGCCAUGCCGAGUGUGUGAAGACGGUCUUCGGAUUGUAAAGCACUUUAAGUUGGGAGGAAGGGCAGUAAGUUAAUACCUUGCUGUUUUGACGUUACCAACAGAAUAAGCACCGGCUAACUUCGUG
rnacentral:rRNA from 1 species